GUCAAGAGGAAGUUAAUUAUUUAAAUUUUUGUUUCCCAAAAUAGUUUGUAAUCCACCUACACUCAACAAAAUACAAUUAAACAGUCCCUUCUGCUACAGUCCCAGCUGAAACAAAUACUUACAUCCAAAAUUAGAAUAAAGGGACAUUGUGCAGCUCAUCCUGAGAACAUCCUCAUGUCUGUCUUUGUGUUUGCAUGUCCGUCUGUUGUAUUGUGCUGCCUGUGGUGUGUGUAGCUAAAACAGAUUUACUUAAGCUACUCAGCUGAAUAUAAACCGGUUUCUUAUCCAGCAAACCACCUCGUGUGUGUGUGUGUGAGUUGCAGACAGAGUGCAUCUCAAUCAGCUCCUCUCCAUUCACAGAACUUGAAGUAAUUCUCGUCUAAUUGCACCUUCCUUUCAUUCGUCACUACUAUCUUUAAUAAAACAUAAAAAUGCAGGUUUGGGUGACACUAAUAAAGGCGGAUGAAUACUACCUUUCAUCUGGUCGGUAAGUAGGAGGUCAUUAGGAGGAAAGAGAGCGGCUGAGAUGCGGCGUCUGCAUCUAUCUAAAGACAAAAACUCAUUACGCCCUCCACCUCGUAACCCUCUGUCUGGUUGUCAUGGAAGCAACAAGGAUGGGGAGCAAGGAUCUAGUCGGGACUGUAAAUGAGAAUCUACCCUUUUCUCCACUCCUUUCCUUUCCUCCGAAACCUGUUGAUGGUUUCACGUUCUUUUACUACAUUUGGACAAUUUGAUGAUGCUUCGUUUCUCUCUUUAUUUGCGUAAGAUUUUUCAGUUUCUACCCCCCCACCCCCCACCCCUCUGGCAAAAUCCUCCUCUCCUGCCUCACAGUCUGUCCCGGAGACAAGGUAGUGAAGGACCUUUGGGGUUGCAAGGUUUCCAGUACUCAAAUAAAUCCCACAGGUGCGACUGGCACAUGUAGCCCGGCCAUCACAGGUUUUUCUAAAAUAAAAGCACAGCCCCUUGGCAGAUGUGAAUUAUUAACCAGUGCAGUUUGCUCUGUAAAUGGUCUGCACUGUGUAUGUGUGUGAUGCAUGAGCCGCUCUCUGUGUGCAACUUGAGAGAGCAAGUGCAUCAGCAGCUUAACAGCGACCAGCUCUAAACUAGCAGAUGAUACAUUUUCCUUUCACCUCUCAUCAUUUAAGCACAGGUGGAGCCAGAUGUGUUUUUUUUAAGGCGCUCACAUGAUGACAUAAAUUCACACAUCGAUCAGUCCUGACUCCUUAGAGGAGAUGCUGCUGAUGAAACGGAUGCUGGCCAUUGUUAUUAACCAACCAAGCUAUGGUGUAAUGUACUUUUUAGCAGUACAUUACUACGAUAUGGUUAAAGUUUACAAAACAAAACUUCUUAAACUUCUUCUCCUCUUCUUCUGAUUUAACAAAGUUUCCAGCAACAUAUGAAAAUAUAUCAACAUCUAUACAAUGUGAAAAUAUUAUCUGGGAACAAAUCUGGGUCAUAGAAUGAAGGAAAUUGUGUGUGAUUACAAUCUGUGUGUAUUCCAGAAAAUUAAAGCAUUUUUCAUGUUUGAUUUCAGCUCUUUCACCCAGGCCUGAUGUGAAGCUCUCUGUUCUCUGGUGUCCAGUGGGACUGCGGUGCAAGCCUGGAGAGUUGGCUGUCAGAGAGGAAAAGGCCACCCAUCAUGAUGACUUAGAUGUGAAAACUAUUUACAGAGCUGAGCUGCCCUAUAUCUCUGCCCAAGUAGCUGUCAGCUCUUUUUUACUCAUCUGUGCUGCUGUGACCUGAAAGCCACCCAGCCCCGUCGUCUACUCGCUUUUCUCAUUUUGAACUCCCUAUCUCUCCCUUCCUGCCACCGAGGGAAACAAAAUACUGUUGCUAUGGAAACUGCUCACAGAGAGCAGAGAGAAGCAGCUUAUGAGACUUUCAGUGUGGAGACAGAAGCCUAUAUAUGGCCAUUUCCUGUCUGCGGGCUGGGAGGUGGGUUCAACCUUCUAUGAACAUUGUGUCUCUUUUUCCUGUGCGAAAAACUAUAUGAGACAGAUGGAGUGACGAGAAAGAGGGAGAAAGAGACAGACAGAACGGGAGACGGAGAGAUGCUAAUGGAGUAAACAGAGAGGGGAAGAGCUGCGACCUCGCCGGCCCAUUCGAUUAAUCCGGCGGCAUCUACACUUCACAUCUCCUCUGUGCGGCUCCUUCGGUCCAGAUUAUUAGAUGUGAUAAAGAAUUUUUAUUAACGCCUGUGUUGGCUGGAGGAAAAAUGAAUGUGGGACUUCGAGGCCGUGCUCAGAACACCUGAAGACCUGCACCUUGAUGUCAGGAAUCUGUGCAGACUCCACAAGGUUUAAGACCAGAGGACAUCAGCAAAAAUAGUGCUCGAUAAACAUCAGCAGUCCCACAUGUUCCAGAUGAGGCGGGGAACUGGGGAACAGCAAGUGACCAACCAUCCUAGAUUCACUUGUUGAAUCUACACUUCAAGAUUGAGUCAUUGAGAGGAAAAGGAGACAAGAAGAAGAAGAAGGAAAGAAGGAAACUUAUUUCACUGUCUUACCAGAAGCAGGGGACUUGCUGCGCCGUGAUUGGAUGACGGUCCUCGGGGAGCCUCGGCUCAGAGAGCCAGACAUCUUCCCAUAGUUCACCGACUUCAUCGUACGACACUCUGCGAGCACAAACACAAAACAGACAGAGACAAGAUGGCGAGCCAAACCCGCGGACUACGUUCCCAAAGAUAAGGAUCCAUCCUGGCGCCAGUGAGAGGACACACUGCCUGCGUUUAGGACUAUGGUCGAACUUGGUGCCACAGCGAGUCGGACUGACCACAUCCUCAGGCCUGGACUGCUGCUGCUGGACUCAACCAAGAGGAUGUUGCUGGAUUGAGGCUCUUUGAGGCUGCUCAUCCCAAGAUAGAAACUAUAGCACACCAGAAAUGUCAGGUCUGCCUGAGGACUCAUCUGUCAGGACCUGCCUCUUUAGUGGGACUUUCUCACAGCCACUCAGAGGUCUGAAGUUUGUUUGCAUGUGGCAGCAGGAAAUAGUCUCUCUGAGCGAUGGAGGAGAUAAAGACCACUGACCUACAUCCUGGCCCCCGGAGACCACCUAAUUCCACUCCAUCACCACUCCCUGAUGAACCAUCGGAGGGAGUGCGUGUUACCCAGCAUUUAUCUGUGCCAGUGGUGGUGAAAGUUUCAGCUCCAGUCUGGUGGAACACAGUCCUUCUCUCACUGUAUUUGCAGUGGUUUAACACGUGAAAGACACUUCUUUACAUGCUGAACACAUCACAGCUUUUCGUUUCACUUUAUUUGCAGUUAUGUAAUGUUUGUGACGUGUUUAAUGCUUGUUUUUAAAAGGUCACAUAUCAUCUAAUUCGUCUAAUCCAAAAACCAAACUAUACCAGACAUUUUUAAUGGACAAACACAGUAUGUGAUUGCAUCUUUUAUUACUGCUUCCGUGAGCAGACCUGCUUGCGUGAACAUGCAUACGAAUGCAUCCAAGUGUGUGACAGUGACAGAAAAAGACUUUGCUUUUCCCCACACACACAAACACACACACACACACACACACACACACACACACACACACACACAGGGACCCAGUGUGCGUCACAAACUGGGGGCUGAGAAAGUGUCCCUGUCUAAAUUAAUCCUGGGGAAUCAGGGCACAUGUGGGGGAGACUGUCUUUAGACCAGUGCAAGACAGAUGGAGGACAAGGACAGGACACAGUCAAGGCCGUGGUCUCAUUUCCAAAGGAAUUUGCAAGUCGACGCUGAUAUCUGUGUCCUCAUGUAUUCAAGUAACAAGCGAACACAUAAAAAUGAGAAAUGGAUUUUA